UAAUUGCGNGUCAACUUGUGAACUGCAGGACACAUGAACAUCGACAUUUCGAACGCACAUUGCGGUCCACGGAUACAAUUCCCGGACCACGCCUGGCUGAGGGUCG
rnacentral:rRNA from 1 species